UAGUCGGAUGCCUGCUGGUUAGGGCGCUUAGCUGUUAACUAAGAGUUUGCGGGGUCAUGGCCCGCCCGUCUAA
rnacentral:tRNA from 1 species